UACGAAGGGGGCUAGCGUUGCUCGGAAUCACUGGGCGUAAAGGGUGCGUAGGCGGGUCUUUAAGUCAGGGGUGAAAUCCUGGAGCUCAACUCCAGAACUGCCUUCGAUACUGGCGAGCUCGAGUCCGGGAGAGGUGAGUGGAACUGCGAGUGUAGAGGUGAAAUUCGUAGAUAUUCGCAAGAACACCAGUGGCGAAGGCGGCUCACUGGCCCGGUACUGACGCUGAGGCACGAAAGCGUGGGGAG
rnacentral:rRNA from 1 species